AGAGUUUGAUCCUGGCUCAGAACGAACGCCGGCGGCAUGCCUAACACAUGCAAGUCGAACGCCUGUAGCAAUACAGGAGUGGCGGACGGGUGAGUAACACGUGGGAAUCUACCCAGUAGCCUGGAAUAACCGCGGGAAACUGCGGCUAAUACCGGAUACGCCCCGAGGGGGAAAGGAGCAAUCCACUAUUGGAGGAGCCCGCGCCCGAUUAGCUAGUUGGUGAGGUAAUGGCUCACCAAGGCGAUGAUCGGUAGCUGGUCUGAGAGGACGACCAGCCACACUGGGACUGAGACACGGCCCAGACUCCUACGGGAGGCAGCAGUGGGGAAUAUUGGACAAUGGGGGAAACCCUGAUCCAGCAAUGCCGCGUGGGUGAUGAAGGCCUUCGGGUUGUAAAGCCCUUUUGGCGGGGACGAUGAUGACGGUACCCGCAGAAGAAGCCCCGGCUAACUUCGUGCCAGCAGCCGCGGUAAUACGAAGGGGGCUAGCGUUGUUCGGAAUUACUGGGCGUAAAGGGCGCGUAGGCGGCCUCGUCCGUCCGGCGUGAAAUGCCUGGGCUCAACCUAGGAAUUGCGCUCGAUACAGCGAGGCUAGAGUGUGGGAGAGGUUGGUGGAAUUCCCAGUGUAGAGGUGAAAUUCGUAGAUAUUGGGAAGAACACCGGUGGCGAAGGCGGCCAACUGGACCACAACUGACGCUGAGGCGCGAAAGCGUGGGGAGCAAACAGGAUUAGAUACCCCAGUAGUCC
rnacentral:rRNA from 1 species